GUACACGCUGUGACUAGCACAUCAAUAAGCGGAGGAAAAGAAACUAACAAGGAUUCCCCUAGUAACGGCGAGUGAAGCGGGAAGAGCUCAAAUUUGAAAUCUUAAAGGGUUUCCCUUUACGAAUUGUAGUUUAAAGAAGUGUUUUCUGUUGAGGUUUUGGUAAAAGUUCUUUGGAAUAGGACAUCAUAGAGGGUGAGAAUCCCGUAUUUGACCUUUACUUUCAACUUUGUGAUACACUUUCAAAGAGUCGGAUUGUUUGGGAAUGCAGUCCAAAAUGGGUGGUAAAUUUCAUCUAAAGCUAAAUAUUGGCGAGAGACCGAUAGCGAACAAGUACCGUGAGGGAAAGAUGAAAAGAACUUUGAAAAGAGAGUUAAACAGUACGUGAAAUUGUCAAAAGGGAAGCGUUUGACACCAGUGUUGUUUUUCUGAAAAUCAAUUAAAGAACUGUUUAUGCUAAGUUGUUUAGACUUUAUCAGCUAUCUGUUUAGUUUUGAGCUUUUCUUUAAUGCACUUUUCAGUUAACAAGUCAACAUCAAUUUCUUUUGCUGCUAAAAAAGCUUGAGGAAGGUGGCUUGAGAUUCGUCUUAAGUGUUUAUAGCCUCUUGCCUAUGCAGUCGGAGAGAUUGAGGUCUGCAGCGUAGAUCCUUCGGGGCUAAAUGCAUUUGUGCUAAGUUAUAGCAUUUUAUAGACAACUUGUUGACUAUGAUUUGUCUUGUAGCUUACUCGCUUAUGUUAUUUUACCUACGCUUAGGAUGUUGAGUCGUAGAGCACGCAG
rnacentral:rRNA from 1 species